rnacentral:lncRNA from 1 species
AGUUAUUGCAUUUAUCGAAUCCUCGUGGGACACUGUAUAAGCAUUUUUGGACAAGAAAAUAAGCCAUUGUUGGUGUGUCUAAUGUAUUGUCAUUUUUUCUGAGCCAUGGUGACAUGGACAUGUACUUCAAAAUAUUGCAUAUCUUAUGUACUUUAUUUGAGAGUGCAUUGUGUCAGGUAUAUUUGGAUCUUGAAUCGUACUUAGAGCGAAAGAUUAUAAUAUGUGCGAUAACUUGAGUUUUCUAUAAUACAGUGUUUCCAAACUUUUUUGAUUUUAAACCCCCCUUGAAGAUUUUCGAAAAUUUCAUGUCUCCUUUAUUAACACGUUUGCUGCGUAUCAUAUUUUAGUAGCACCUAUCGAGGUGCAUUUGCGAUCUUCAUAAUAAUAUCGAUUUAUAUUGAAUUUAAACUCAUAAUUAAAUAAUAUUCAAUAAGGCCCAAUGCACACAGGGGAUAUCAAACUAUUGGACAUUGGUAUCAAAUGUUCCAAGAAAUAAUGGUUGUUUGUGUGGUCAGAAAUGCUCAGACCUUGUACCUCAUUUAGGAGGAAUUUGAAUAGAUACUGUAACUGUAUAGAUGUAUGUCAGAUAACCUGUGGCGGUCAUAUUGAACAUUUUUAACCAAACCAAUUAAAACUUGAUUAUUUUAAGUAUAUUUUUUACUUCAUUCCACUUUAUACAGUGAAAAAUUGAUAAGUUGAAAUAAAUGCAGUUCCCUCGCGAAAACCUCGAUUACUCAAAAGAAAAACUAUGUAGGUAACUUUGUUCCAAAUAUAGACAGAUAAUGAUAAAUAAUUUUACAUAAUAGUGUUUAUUGUGUUUAUUAUAGUAUUUUUUAACUUGAGUAUAGAAUGACUCACUAUUAUUAGUUUUUAACCUAACCUAACACUACUGAUACAGAUAAAUUGAAAUUUAAUAAUUUACAUUAUACAUUUACAUAUAUAUUUUAUAAUAAUUAAAAACUAUAAUAUGUACAUACAUUUAAAAAAUUCUUAAGUCAAAUUUUUUUCCUAUAAUUUUAAUAACUCGAAAACCUUAGUAAGUUGAAAACCUCAAUAAACCUUCCCAACUUCUCAUUAACAACAGUGGUUACACCUAACAAAGUAUAUCCAUCUUUUUAAACAUAGAUAUUAUGUCAGUAAAAAAACUUAGAAAUAGAAAACUUGCAAAUUUAAAACAUUUGUAAUAAUGUACACAUUACAAAUGUUUCAAAGGUUGUUGUUUUGUUUUUAUUAUUUUCGUUGUUCAUCAGUAUUUGUUUGUUUGUUUUAAUGUUUGUAUUUUUGUCAUAUUACUAAUUUUUUUUAUUGACUUUCAAAAAUAAAUAAAAUUGAAUAAUGGAUUUUGAAUUUUUUAAAUUUUAUUAAAAUUAAAUUAAAAAUUAAUUUAAUUUUAACUAGUCAUAAAAUAGUUCUUUUGUAAACAAUCAGUUUAUUCUUUAAUAAUUUUAAAUAAAAAAAAACUGUUCUAGGAUAAUGGGAUGGGUGCAACCACUGUUGUAGUUGAGAACUUAAGAAGGUAGGAUACAGAAGGUAAUAUAAUGUAUAUCUGUAAGCAACGAUAAAUCAUUGCUAAUGAAAAAAAUGAUUCUGAGCGGAGUUCAGUUGAUAGUAAUGCUUUGUCAACAAUAUAUAAUAUGUCAUAUUAUGGUAAAAUAAUUAAAUAGGCAUUAUAUAUUUGUUUAAUAUUGAUCGGAUUUUCUCUUUUUCCUACAUUUUCCCGUACUUCCCCACAUUGAUUUCCUUUCAGAAAAAAGUGCAACACUUAAAAAUUGGAGCGAAAUUUCUGGUAAAUGUCCACAGAUAAAAAAAAAAAUAUCUUUGUAGAACCAUAAGCUUUUUUGCUCUACUCUGAAUAUAAAAACAUUUUAUUGAGUAUUAAUAUUUAAAAUGACUAUUGUUUUUAAUUUUGUAUAUCAUGGUUUAGAAAAAUAUAUUUACCAAAAUACUGUUUAAGUAUUAUACAUUUAAACAUAUUUAAACAUUAAUUGAACACAAUUUUAAUUUUAUAGAAUAGUUCAACUGGUUGUGACUGGAAGAUAGCUGCCAUUUUCUUCAUCUGGCAUAUGCUGUGUAUGUUAAUUCUAACCAGUGUCACAAAAGGUUUAAGUUUUAUACAUGUUUGAGACAUACUAAAAGUCAUAGUUUAUGACCAAAAGUCAAUUUUUAUUUUAUUAAUUUAUUUUAUUAAUUUAUUUUAAAUUUAUUGUAAGUAUUUUAAUUACAAAAUCUUUAUAUUGAACACUGUAAAAAAUAUAUGAAACUUUUGAGAGUUGGUAGAAUGCUAUGAGCAGAGGUAGCUUUAUCCAUUUAUGGUAAAUUUAGAGGCCUGGGAUCUAAACAAUGAUCUGUACAUUUUCCAGCUUUGGAAUAAAAGAAAUGAUGAGAACCAUAUGUGUCCAAAAUAUUAAUUAUAUAAGUACUUUUGGACUAGAAAAUAAGCUAUUGUUGGUGUGUCUAAUAUAUUGUCAUUUUGUCUCAGGUAUAAUCGGACCUGGAAUUGUGCUUGGGGCAAAAGAUAUAAUUAUUUGGAGCAAUUUGAGUUUUCAAUUAUACUUUAUAAUACAAUUUCCCUAUACUAUCCACCACAUAGUAUAUAAUUUCCUCCCUAGGGAUUCAUCCCGCUCUGUUGGGUAAUACUGCUAUAAUAUAUUAUUUAUAUAAAUUUCUAUUUAUUUUAUGUGUAGCAAUAUGCAACUGUAUACUCAAACUCGGCUAAAUUAAAUUGGAAAUAUGACCAUAUCACACAUACAAGGAUCCACAGCACAAUAAUGGAGACAUGGGGCAUGAAUAUACAGAGUGUGACAGGAUCAUUUGACUUUUUUUACAUGUAACUACAAUGUAAUUCUGUUACAACCUGUACAUAACAUGGCCCCAAUCAACAUCAAUCUAAAACAGUCCACCACAAUUAAAUGUAUCUUUGCUACACUCUACAUAAUGAAUACUUGGACUUUAUCUUUUUGUUUAUUUUUCUUUAUUAGAAUUUAAUUGUUUAGACUUACAAUAUUUGUUGAAUAUAUAGUUUUAUAGAUGUGUAUUUUUAAUUGUAAUAAUAUUUUCUGAAUAGUAAUAGUAAUACUAGUAAAAAGCAUGCUGAACACUUUAAUG